GUCUUCAGUUCAGACUCCAUGUUGAGUGGACAGAGCAGAAGGAGGUAAACUGAAGGCUGAGGCAGGACUGACUUCAGAUCAGAAGAUGAGUGGUUGUGUGGAGGAAGAGGAGGACAGAGCAGAGUCUCUAGUCUCCGGCUGUCUGUCUAUGAAGAGUGACGACUCCAAAGGUCUUCCUCUGAACUUCAGUAAUGAACCUGGACCCUCAGACACAAAAGUUCAGUACAGACAGAGAGCAGAGUCUCCAGUAUCCAGCUGUCUGUCUAUGAAGAGUGAUUGGUCCAAAGAUUAUCCUCCAGACUUCAGUAAUGAACCUGGACCCUCAGACACAAAGUAAGAGACUGUUUUUACUGUGAGCUGACCUGAUGAAGAUGAUGCAUUGAGGAUGAAGACAAAAUAUUCUGCUCAAAGAUUUAUAUUGCUGAUGCAGAACUAUUAGUGCAGAUACUGUUUCAGACUAAGAUGAUCUUAGUCUGGGUUUUAUAGCCACAAACUACUGAUGUUUUUCUCUGGAGCAAAACACCUGAGAACCUCCAUUUCAGAAUUUACUCUUCAAGAAAAUACUCAUAUAUUUCUGCCCAAACUUUAUAGUCACUGUUCAUAAUGUGGGAGAAUGUGCUUCAAAUGUUUAAUUCAUUUUCUCAUAUUUGACUCAAAUCAGCUGUUCAGACCUACCAGGUGCUUCUUGAAUCAGUGCACAUCAUAACUGUGCAACAUGUGGUGAAAAAGCAUUUGUAGAAAAGCUUUGCUCACUUUGAUUCUGUGUGUUGAUGUUUGAGUUUGUUCUUUAAAUAACUACUAAAAAUGAAGCUCAAAGGUUUAUUUCCUAGUGGUUCAGAGCUUUCAGCUGAAAGCUUUAAAUCAUUAGUAAGUGGACCUUUGAGUUUAGAUUCUCUCCUCCAUAUAUUGUUCCUGAAGGUCAAGAACAAACAUCCAGGAGCAGUACUGAUGUAAAAGUUAUCUGCUGAAAAAAACAGACAGGAAAUGGUCAACUGUACAUUUGGACCACUUCUGUUUUUAUAUUAUAUUUGAAUUCAUGCCUUCAUUUGAUAUUUGACAGUAGAAAGUGACAGAAAACAGACAUAAAAAAGUAAAGAGUGUGGACUUGAACCUGAGACUCCACUGUUACAUGCUGUGUCUUAGACUGUUGGUCCACCACAACAUUUAGACCUUCUAACCUCAGUUCAAACAGAACGAACUCAAGCUAAGCUGCUCAAAGACACAG